CUACUAGAAGGUUCGAUUAGUCUUUCGCCCCCAUGCCCAUGUUUGACGAUCGAUUUGCACGUCAGAACCGCUGCGAGCCUCCACCAGAGUUUCCUCUGGCUUCACCCUACACAGGCAUAGUUCACCUUCUUUCGGGUCCGGCCCCGUAUGCUCUUACUCAAAUCCAUCCGAAAACAUCAGGAUCGGUCGAUGAUGCGCCGAAGCUCUCACCUGCGUUCACUUUCAUUUCGCGUAGGGGUUUGACACCCGAACACUCGCAUACGAAGACGACUCCUUGGUCCGUGUUUCAAGACGGGUCACUGAUGACCAUUACGCCAGCAUCCUUGCGAAUGCGCGAACCUCAGUCCGCCACAGGGUAUUACGCAGCGGGCUAUAACACUCCCCGGAGAGAGCCACAUUCCCGAAGCCUUUUUCCCCCGGGGCGAACUGAUGCUGGCCUGGGCCGGAAGAGUGCACCAGGGAGAACCCUGGAUGAUCAACCAAGCCCAAGUCUGGUCACAAGCGCUUCCCUUUCAACAAUUUCACGUACUUUUUAACUCUCUUUUCAAAGUUCUUUUCAUCUUUCGAUCACUCUACUUGUGCGCUAUCGGUCUCUGGCCGGUAUUUAGCUUUAGAAGACAUAUACCUCCCAUUUAGAGCAGCAUUCCCAAACUACUCGACUCGUCGAAGGAGCUUUACAGAGGAUUGGCGUCCAACCAGACGGGGCUCUCACCCUCUAUGGCGUCCCGUUCCAGGGAACUCGGAAGGCACCGCACCAAAANCAUCCUCUACAAAUUACAACUCGGGCCCGAGAGCCAGAUUUCAAAUUUGAGCUGUUGCGCUUCACUCGCCGUUACUGAGGCAAUCCCUGUUGGUUUCUUUUCCUCCGCUUAUUGAU
rnacentral:rRNA from 1 species